rnacentral:rRNA from 1 species
GGGAUAGAAUUCCAGGAGUAGCGGUGAAAUGCGUAGAUAUCUGGAGGAAUACCAAAGGCGAAGGCAGUCCCCUGGUCCGAUACUGACACUGAGGUACGAAAGCGUGGGGAGCAAACAGGAUUAGAUACCCUGGUAGUCCACGCCCUAAACGAUGUCGAUUAGCCAUUGGAAGGACCCCUUUUCCUUUCAGUGACGUAGCUAACGCGUUAAAUCGACCGCCUGGGAAGUACGACCGCAAGGUUAAAACUCAAAGGAAUUGACGGGGACCUGAACAAGCGGUGAAUGAUGUGGAUUAAUUCGAUGCUACGCGAAGAACCUUACCUACCUUUGACAUGGCCAAAGUUCUACCGAGAGGCGGAAGUACUCGUAAGAGGAUUGGCGCACAGGUGCUGCAUUGGUUGUCGUCAGUUCGUGUCGUGAGAUGUUGGGUCUCAGUCCCCGCCAACCGAAACGCAAACCCUUAUCUUUAAAUUGCUCCUAUUUUAACAAGCACUUUAAAGAAAACUGCCAAUGAUAAGUUGGAGGAAGGUGGGGAUCACGUCAAGUCCGCAUGGCCUUUAUAGGUAGGGCUUCACACGUCAUACAAUGGUUAGAACAAAGAGCUGCAAAUUCGUAAGAAGGAGCCAAUCUCACAAACCUAACCUCAGUUCGAAUUGCGGUCUGCAACUCGAGCGCAUGAAGCCGGAAUCGCUAGUAAUCGUGGAUCAGAAUGCCACGGUGAAUACGUUCUUAGGUCUU